GCACUCUUAGCUCAGUUGGUUAGAGCGUGCGAUUCACAUUCGCAAGGCCAUAGGUUCGAAUCCUAUAGGGUGCA
rnacentral:tRNA from 1 species